rnacentral:rRNA from 1 species
GCAAAUUACUGGGACGCAGCGGGGGGAAGAGGUGAAGGCGGAGAGUUGUCGGGAGUUGUGGGGCGUAGAGAUCGUGUAUGCGGUUAGGUGGGUCAGUGGUGAAAACUGUGGGCUCAACCUGCAGACGUCGGCCGAAAGCGUCUGGCGAGAGUCCGGGAGAGGAGAGUGGAAUUCCUGGUGUAGCGGUGAAAUGCGCAGAUAUCAGGAAGAACACCCGUGGCGAGAGCGGCUCUCUGGAACGGUACUGACGCUGAGACGCGAAAGCGUGGGGAGCGAACAGGAUUAGAUACCCUAGUAGUC